UAAUUUUUAAAAAUUAAUUUAAGUUAAUUUUUUAUUAAUAUUAAAAAUGUACUUAUAAAUUCCAAAUAAAAUUUCUGGUAAUUGUAAAUGGUGUGCCAGAGGUGAUUCAUCUCAUCUUUCCAAACUCGUUCUUUCCUUUCAAUUGUCAAAAAGGCUGUCCACGCCUCCCAAAAAUCCUUUAUAUCAAACACAAUGUAAAUCCAUGUUACAAUCGAGACCCCGUCCCUUUCAUUGAAACUUCUUCUACGAUUCUCUUCGAUCAGGUUCUCUGAUCUAAGAAAGGCUUUGGUGCUUUGCAAGUGGGAAUUUUAGUCUCAACUUCUGCAGCAACUUAUCACUUGAUCCUUUCAUGUACAUUGGAGGAAAGUAAGUUCUGAGACUUUGUGUGCUGCGGUGAUAAUGGAAGGUUGAUAACUUGCGUGUUUUAGUGAUUUUCCUAAACUCGCCAAUCACCAUCAUCGUCGGUGGUGGUGAAGGUGACCCAUAAUCAAACCUCACUCUAUCAAUGUGUUACUGGUUGCAUUCAAUCAAUAAUCUUAAAUCGUCUACUUUCAGUUCUAAGGAAAAGGAUCAUCAGUAUAGUUUGAGAAAAUAAUAUGAAGAAAAAGAAGAAAAGAAGUCAACUGCAUGGAUCAUUUUUAGAAUAAUUCAUUUAUUUAUUUUCCUCUCCUUUGCUGAUUCUUUUUUCAUCUUUAUGCUAAUUAUUUGUUCUGAAAUCUUUGGUUGGCUUAUUCUUUAUGCUGAUAAGGAGUAUACAUUUCUCUAGUUUGUAUACCUAUAUAUGCUAUUAGUUAAAUUAAUAAAACAAAAACUCGAGAUAUGCACACAUUGUGUAUAAUAUAUUUCCCUUGUAAUAUCUAGAAAAAUCGUAUGAAGUGGGUCCAAUUUUUUCCCUUUUCAAUUAAUUGUCCAUUUCUUUACUAUAAUCGAAAAUUGUGGUAAUACCAACAUUUUCUAGUUGACACUAUACUUGUAUAUAUUCCUUCUGUUCAAGUCUUGUCUUAGAGUUAGUUGAGAAUGUCAGGUGAAAUGGACUCAUUAACGAGGUCAUUUGAGUGUGUCUCUACUCUUAUCAGAGGGGAAAAUGAGGCAUAGGUAAGCUCUCUCUCCAUUGAUUGAGGAUGUACAACUUCAAGUUCAGGAUGCUCCCGAUGCAUUUCCAGACACUAUUCUAUAAUAAGUUACAGGCUGAAAAAAAUGACGAUUGUCAUGUGCUAUUGAGGUUCUUCAAGGCAAGAAAGUCUUAUUUGAAUAUACACCAGGGGUGUGGAUGUUGGAUAUGGUUUAAGGAAGGAGGAGAUCGGGGUAAGUUGAUAACUUGAUACCAAUAAAAUAUUGCAAGUUACAGUCAUGGACUGAUAAGUGGCAUACCAUGUUCAGGAAAAUGAGAAAAAUCUGUGCAACAAAAUUUUCAGCUUCUACCAUUUGCAGCAUUUAGACACGUAAGAUUCAAGCCCAAUAAUCUUAGUUGUUCAUGGCUUAGUAUGUUGCAUAUGACCAUUUAUCCUUGCAAUUUCUAUAAUAAGCAUAUUUUCCACAAUUGCAUUCUCCAACAUUUUUGAAUAAUGAUGUGGAGAACUUUAUAAAGACUACAAUAGGAACUGAUUACAUCUGCAGAAGAUUGAUGGUGACAGCCAACUAUCCUGAGGUAUGAAAUCCUAGCCAUCUCCAUAUUUUUUGUUUUAUUUAAUCCAUUUGUAAACUAAUCCUAAGGGUGCGUCUUGAAGGCGACACUGCAAUUGGAAUUGAGUGUAAUUUGGAGUAAUUACUAGGUUUGACAUGUUUGUUUAACCAGAUAAUUAAACAACAAUCAUGUAAUUGGAUGAAAAUAAUUACUCUUUUAAAUAAUUAGUCAUUACACAAUGUUAUUUUCUAUGUAAUUACUAACUCUUUUGUCAACCAUGAAAAUAAGAUUUCAUGUGAUUACCACUUGACAAUCUUGUAUCUGAAAAUAGUGUAUUUACUAUGUUGUGUAUUAUGAGCUUUGUAUUUACACUGUCUCGUUAAUUACAUAGUGAUUUCCAAACACAAUCAAUUUAAUUAAAGGGUAUGUGUUAUUGCUUUCUCCAUAAGAAGUGUCUGUAUUUUUGUAUUUGAUAAUUGAUUCAGACUCUUUGCCAAUUUUUUUGUCAUCAGUGUUGGUCUUGAAUUAAAACUAGUGUGGAAGGCUGUAAAGUUAUACAUAGGUUCCCAAAACGACGUAAAAGUUCAUGCAUGCAAAUUUUCUAGGUUUCAUCUGUCUCAUAAAUGUUAUUUAAUACCUGUGGCUUUACAAUCUGUACAUGGAAAAUUUGUGGUUCUUGGAUAUAAAUACCAUACACAUUAGUUGAGAUCAUUGAUGGCAGGUAAUUGGGAUCAUGGAUGUGGGUUUAGAAACAGAGAAUAUUAUUUCCUUGGCUUGCAUUGAAUGUGUACAUUGUUACUCUUAUAUAUAGAGACAAAGAAUACAAGAAAGGGAGACUGUGCAAAAUCAGGAUACUACAUACUACCAAGAUCCUAUUUGAUAUCAUCGACCAAAUCAAUUAAGCUUGAAAUUGUUGCUGAUUUUCCCUUGUAGAGAAUCACAUGUACUCUAUACGCAUAAAAGGCGUUAAACUCAAUAUCAUUGCUGAUUUUCCACAUUUGGAUUUGGUUUAUUUUCUAAGUUAGCAUAUUGCCUUUUAUAAUUUGUCUAAAGUGGAUUGACUAGUAUUAUUCUCUUCAUUUAUUUUUGGAUUAUUUCUUUUUUCUCCCUAAAAUAUAAGGCAGUGGUUUCUUAACCUAGCCUACAAAUGUAUCGGUAUCACUUCUCCUACAAAGUAAUAUACAAUUUUUUGCAGCAGCCUUCUCUUUUCUUUCUUUGCAUGUUUUGUCCUUCAUUAAUUGUCUCCUACCUACCUGGUUUCAUGGUAUUAGAGUUAGGUUCAGUUAAGCAAAAGCUGUACAAGACAACAUUGACUGGUGACCGAUGAGAGUAGGGAUCGAUGGUUCCUCUAAGGUCUGAAGACUACUCAGGCCUACCUAGCCAAUAUGAGAUGCACACAAUGCUAUGGUUAUGACAUGGAUUGUGAACUAUGGAGGAAAAUGUCAAAGAGUCUUCUCUGUAUUUUUCCACUGCAAAAUAAAUAUGGGGUGGUUUGACUUUAGCUUCUUUUUCUUUAUUUGGACAGUUCUGCUCAACUUCUUGAUGUUUGACAUAGAUGGGAGAACUAAAACAAAGAGAACGUGGUGUCACUGAAUAUUUCAAUGCCCCGGUCAGAUUGUGGCAGUAGGAUCAACCGGUUCGUUCGUUAUAGAGUAGUGCUGAAAAAUAUAAGAAAAAAGGUUGAAAGAGAUAUAAGAUUUUGUUUGGCAUGUGUUUUGAUUCAGAUCUUGAUGAAGUUAGGGGUUGAUUUGUAACAGCUCGAAGAGAGGAAAGCCAUAUACAAGCUAUGUUGGGGGAACGCAAAUCAUCACUAUGAGUAUGAGAGGCACCUGCUCUAGUUGCAUCUGGCCAGGAACCUCCUAAGAACCAUAGAAGGAACAAUAUGUAGUAUCAUUUCUUCUUCUUUUUUUUUUUUUAAACAAAUCACACCAGAGAUUGAUGUUGGAAGCUAUAUGGUAAACCUUCUCAAUUGGAAAGAUAACAAGCUGGUAGCCGUGAGUCAUCUGGAUAUCACAGAUUCAGACUGAGAACUCAAAUCCACCAAGCUGAAGGAGAGUACUUAUUUCGGAGGCAGUACACAAUAUUUUCUCACCAAGAAACAAUAAACACAACUCUACAAGCUGCUCACACCUCUGUUGAUAGCGACAAACACUUCUUUAUUGGCACAACAAGGACCUGACUUAAAGAAAAUAUGAGCCUAAUUACUACUUUGAUAAAGAAGUUACUUCGAAUCAACAAGCUCAAAUUGUGAGUUGUGAGUUUAUUUCAAGGGAACAAAAAAUAGUAGUGGCAUCCUAAGACUAGGUCCCCAAGUAUUUCAUAUAUAGAAAUUUUGUUUCCUUCAUUAUUUUCUCAAUAGUAAUGUUUUGAAGGUGGAUUUCGUCAAAUAUCCAGACGAGGUAUACCUACUCUCUGAUCAUGCAAGAUUGAGGAAGAUAAAAAGUUAGUAGAAACAAAUGCUACAUGAGUAAAAAUAUAGAAAAGGGAUGCAAUAAAGACUAUGUUUUGUCAAGAUUGUAUCAGGGUAAGACUUGUGUAGAUAUUCAACACCCUUGUGAAAUAAAGUUUGAAACAUGCUCGAGUAGUCCAUGCACAACCUUGCUGCUGCUUUACUUAGUAGCGAAAAUAAGCUUAUUACUAGUGAUAAUAAUAGUAGUAGUGAUGAAUACUUACAAGAAUCAUGGGUUUCCAUCUUAAAACCAAUUGGUGAUGAGUGGGUAGGUUAUGUUCUUAUAUAUGGUUCAAUAUUUUUACAUUUAAUCUAUGUGAGACAAUGUUGUCCAAUAAAUACACACCUGGUGAGCAAAGAAAAUUCAGAAUUUUUAUUUUUAUAUUUUUUUUGUAAAAACAAAAUUUUAGUGUAUGUUUUGUGAACAUUAUCUUGUUAUAAAUAUUACAGGAAGGUUUAAAGUUUGUGCUAAAAGAAGUGGUUAUGAUUUAGUUGGAGAAUCUGUUAAUCAAAAUAAGAGGCAGUUUGCAAUGACUCCAGCUGAUAGAAAGAAAGCUUUAUCUAGGACUCAAAACUUCAAAUCCAAAAAUCCAUGUUUCAAAGUUGCCUUACAAAAGACACAUGUGCAACUUUUUGACAUGGUAUUCUUUUCUUUUUAAAACCAUCUUAUCUUAGACUCAAUUCAUGUGCAUUUGAAAUCAUCUUAGACUCAAUUAAAGGAUCCUCAACUUUUUUGUUUUUUCUUUUCUCAUAUUUGUAAUGUAUUUUUAAUUAAUUUGUUCAUUUGUUUAACGGUUAUUGUAGACAUUACAAGUAGAAUUUUGGAGAAACAAUAUCGGUAAUGAAAAAAGUAAACAUGAUGUUACUAUAUGUGUUCUUCCUGAGAAGAAGAAAUUACUAGCCAUGCUACACGACCAAGAACUUACUUCGGCAAAAGAGACUGGAAGGAAUUCAUUGAGAAGAAUGAUUUGAAAAUUGAUGAUUCAUUAAUAUAUGAAUUGAUUGAAAAACUGAACAAAUCAUUAUGUUCAACAUUAUCAUAUUCCGAGCCAUCGAAUGUGAUCGAAACAGCCAACAAUUACAAUCUCAUCAUCAAGGUAACAAUAUUAGAAAUUCUGGGAUGACCAAUUCCAAAGAUUACAACAGCAAGCCUUCAUCUUCAAAGGGUGACAAGUUUUUGUGAGAAGAAAUCAAACUAUCUUAUCCCAAUUUUGAAGUCACAUCGGGGGAAUCUAUUGAUGAGAUGCUGAAAAUUUCCUAUGUGAGGACUUAUUUUCAAGUGAAGCCAAAAACUGUAACACGUGGUAGAUGGUCUAAAUUUGCAAGGAAGAACCGGCUACAUCCUGGAGAUUCAUGUGUAUUUGAGAUUGUUAGCAACGAAAUGGAUCAUACUUUGCUCAAAGUUACCAUUACUUUUGAUGUGAAUUGUUAGAUUAGACCACAUUUACAAGUACUUGGAAUCUAAGUAUCAUUGACAGCUAACUUUUCAUCUGUGCGAGAAGUGUUUGUUUUGAUUUCGAAGUUCUUGGAGUUAGUUUUUAGAAAAUUUGGAUGAAUUUGAAGCUUGUUACUAUUUGCAAGGAAACUGAUUAGAGGCUGUUUUAAGGUGGCCUUGAAUGUAGAAAUGUUCAAUGUAGAUUAGAUCACAUUCACUAGUACUUAGAAUCCAAGUAUUAAUGACAGUAGUAGUCUUAAUUUCCUCUCAACAAAAGAGACUUAAGUGUUUGUUAAUGUUUUGAUAGAAGUUCCUGAAGUUAGUUUUUAGAGAAUUUUAAUUAUGUUUUUAUUUGUGUGAAGCUUGUUAUUAUGGGGAUGGAAACUGAUUAGAAGUUAUAUUAAGCUAGGCUUGAUUGUAUAAAUGAUCAAUGUUUAAUUAUAGGUUAUUGUUGAGGAA